GAGAAUGAGAAAUGAUGAACCUGUGCGCAUGCGUACAAAGCAUCCGAAGCCUGGCUAGGCUUAUGACUAAGGAUGCGGAACCCGGAAGUGAGAAAGAGCUUGAGCAGGGAAAGUGCCCGGAUGACAGGAAGCCGGAAGUCACAGGAAAGGAGUGGAUUAAGAAAGAAGGAGGAGUAUUUAUACCCCAGCCUUCUCGAAGGGGACUCAGAGCGGCUUCCACAUACGGCAGACAUUCAAUGCAGAUUAUGCAACUAACAAGGAAAGACACACAAUCAGAGAUUAUUUGCUGCCCUGUUGCUUUAAAACAUCGUAUGUUAUGCAAGAAGAACACUGCUGUUACCACCUCGUGAGAAGCUUCAGGAGAAGCUAUAUAGGCAAAUGUUUUUGAUAAUGUUAUUGCCAACCACAAAUCACAAUAAUAGCAUUGCCCAAUUUCCAAAAGAAUUUCCUUCCUUGAAGCCCAAUUGACUGCUUGCAUACUCCGUUCCAAGACCUCUUACCAACGAGUGCUUCUUAAACUAAACUUCGAUGGCGAGAAAUGCCUCUUGCUCCGGUCCAACCUACUUGGAAUAUUUUGCUAGGAUUCCCUCCCCUCCCCGUUGCCCACAACAUUGUUUUAUUUUCCAAGGCUUCUAUUUGCCGCUUGCUUUUGUCCCAAAGAAAAGGGCUUUAAUUCAGGAUUAGCCCGCGCCUCUCUUCGUGUGGGCACACAUGCUCCUUCAGCUGCCUGGGAUUGAAGGUAUUUAAAGCUUGUGAGUUAAUUGGAAGAAACAUGAUUGCAAGGGAUUAAGCAACCCCCUCCAUUCAAUAUGCAGAGUUAUGUUUACACAGCCAAAAAGAGAUUAAUCUGCUAUUUUUCUCAUUUCACUCCAUUUCCAAAGCUUAGAUUUCUAAUCACAAAAGCAUAACAACAAGCCCAUGCUUCUGUCAUUAUAUGGUGGAAAUUGCCUGAGCUAUAGGAAACUGCGACAGAUCAUAAGCACAUUGGCUUAAGACUGUUUUGCAUCUCCCAGCCAAUUUUUUUUAUUUCAGUCAACAUACAUUAUUUUUCUCCCAGCUAUCCCCAGAUUUAGCAUCUAAUGGUCAAAAAUUAAACUUGUCAAAAUUCUGAUAUGGAGUUGCAUUUGUGAACAGAGAAUAUUAGCUGCCUCAUUGAAUGGUAGAAUGAUAGUGCUGGAAGAGACCCAGGGACCUUCCAGACAGGCCCUAUAUCCCAGGAUCUGAACCCAGGUUUUCUACUUUAAACUUAAUUAUCUUUGCAUUCAUAUUCAAUUUUUGUUAAGCAAUCCAAACACCAAAGAAAUCAUUCUUAAAGCAGUAUCAGUUGGUGGCUUGGAUAUUGGUAUGGCGGUGAAUCCAAUCUAGGUUUUUGUCUGAAUUUCAAGGAGCAAAGCGAGAUGCCAAACUCAUUCACUCCAAUAGGUUCAACAUGGCAGCUUUAGAGUUUGGACAAAAAAGCAGAGUAGAUUCACUGCCCAACUGAGAUGGAAGUCCCCAGAUGCCACUGGUUAUGAGGCUGUCCAAAAGUUGCCUCAAAAAACAACACUAUCCUUGGCUUGAAAGUAAGAUCAGCUGGUGCUGUUUGCAUAAAAAUGGGAUAAUAAUAAUAAUAAUAAUGAUGAUGAUGAUGAUGUCAAAAAUCAGAAACUCCUCAAAACACAACAGACAAAGAGUCAGUACAAGAAAACCGCACUACAAACUAGAGCUGACAGCUGGCACAACAAACAUUGCAUGGAAAGUUCCUUGACAAAAUUGAAGGAAAAGCUGACAAGGAGAAGACCUGGCUCUGGCUCACAAAUGGGACCCUGAAGAAGGAGACAGAAGGCCUGAUCCUUGCAGCCCAGGAGCAAGCCAUCAGAACAAAGGCAAUUAAGGCCAAGAUCGAAAAAUCAGCUGAUGACACAAAAUGCAGACUGUGCAAGGAAGCUGUCGAAACCAUUGAUCCAACCAGUCCAUCCUCCAGGAAAUAAUGCCCGGCUGCUCACUGGAGGGAAGGAUAUGGGAGGCAAAGCUGAAGUAUUUUGGCCACAUCAUGAGGAGACAAGAAAGCUUGGAAAAGAUCACGAUGCUGGGGAAAAUGGAAGGAAAAAGGAAGGGAGGCCGACCAAAGGCAAGAUGGAUGGACGGUAUCUUUGAAGUGACUGGCAUGAACUUGAAGGAACUGGGGGCGGCGACGGCCGACAGGGAGCUCUGGCGUGGACUGGCGUGGACGACUAAACGACUGAGCAGCAGAACCGGGAUUGCAAAUAACUGGAGGAAAGAUGCAAUGUGAUGAUGUGUCAUCACUUGCUAUUAGACAUGUGCACGAAAUUCGUUUCUACCGUUUCUUUCAUGUCUUCCAUUUCGUUGUAGCACAAAAUGGGAAGCCCCUUUCUGGCAUGAAAAUCUGCUCGACACGAAAAUCUGAUUUCAUCUGCAGCCAAACUUGCCUCCUUGCCUUGGAAAGAGAGAGUGUGUGUGGCAGGGUGUGCAGGUAGGUCUGAAGCAUGCCUGCAGAUGAGCGCUUUUUACUGCCUGCAGAUGAGCGCCUCUUACAACAGGUGCCAGGUAAGAAGAACAGAAGCCUCCUUAAAGCACACGGGGAAGGGGAGCCAGUGGGUGAGAAGCCCCCUCCCAUAUUGGUCUGAUUUUCGGUGCCCUAAACCAAAAAGAAAUAUCUACAUUCCUGAUUUAAGGAGGCUUCCAAAAAUGGAUCGGGCCCCCCAAAGAAAGCUGGGACACGAAAUGAGACAAGGUUUUCUCCAAAAGAACAAGUCUACUUGCUAUAAGCAUUAUAUAGAGGAAAUAAUUUGACAUAUGUCAUCUAUUUGAGGGUGAACCACAGGCUGUUAAACUGCAUUACUAGUCUACACUGAGCAUACAAUGCAAUUUGAAACUGCAUUAUAAGGCAGUGUAGAAGGGGACCCAGUUCUCCAUGCCAGCCAGUCACCACUUGAUGCUACAGAGAAAGAGAAAAGGACACACAAACAACCCUUUAUUCUAUUAAAAUAAAAAGCAGAGGCAGUGAUGUUCCAGGCAGUUACUUCCAUUUUGUAAAUUACGCAACCGUCGCAGUAGACAGCAAAAAUGUAAGGUCAUGUAAGAUGUUUCAGAAGUUUCUGAAUUUCAGAAGAAAAUCAGAAGUUUCACGUAGAUCCUACUCCAACCCCUUCCACCUUCAUCCUGAAACGCAGCUCAAAUUUCCAUUGUGCUGUUUUGGCUAAAAAGCAAAUCUGACAAUUUAUUACAGCUUGCGUGCCACAUAAUAACCCAGCUGAUGGUAUGUGACAGAACAGCUUAACAUCAAGCGCUAAGGUUCCCGUAUAACUGUUGUCACUUCUGCUUUCCACAGCUUCACCUUAGUAAAUGAUUUUCUUGGUGCUGUUUCAAAUUCUGAUCUAUCUUGUUUCCCUAGGAGAUUUCCAAGAAAGGUGAAUAAAAAAUAGGUGCAAAACUAUGCAGUCCCCUCUUGAUGUAUAAUUCAAAUCACCCUACAAAAUCUCCCGCUGAUUGCAAAGCUAAUAAGCACCAGCUCGACUCUACUUUAACAGAUUGCGGAGCGUUUUAGCUAUGAAAAAUGAUAAAGACCGAACCGACUAAAGGGAAAGUUCAUGCAAGUCUCCAUCUGAGAAACAAAUCAUGUAUUUCAAAUAAGAGCCAUGCAGGCAGCGCCUCUCUAAUUUUCCCGAAACAGAGAGUAAAGGAUUUCUGCAAGGGAGAGGCAUGGGAUCAGUGAGGAGAUGGAGCAAAUCUCCUACCAAUGGGGUUACUAAAGGAAGGAGAAGAAGAUUUGUACUCGUCGUCUGGUGUUGUUCUUUUCCUCUCUUUUCUGUUUUCAAUUGUUGCAUUAAGCCUCCCAAUUAAGCUUUUCUUUGUGAAUACUACUUCAUUUAUCUGUAACUAUGCACUACUGCAUCAGCAUAGACAAGACCUAAACUCUAAAAAUCUGAGAAUUUAUGAGGGUUGAAUGAACUUCGUAACUCCUCAACAGAUGUCAGUGCUGGUCUGCGGCAGGUACUGGUUAGUUCAGUAGACUCUCCUCUACAGUUCCAUUUGGAGGGAAGCCUUAGCAUUGAAUGGUUGUGUUGUUAAAGUGUGAAGCAUGGAACCCUGCGCAGACGGGGAAGCCUUAGCAUUGAACGGUUGUGUUGUUAAAGUGCGAAGUACGGAACCCUGUGCAGACGGGGAAGCCUUAGCAUUGAACGGUUGUGUUGUUAAAGUGCGAAGUACGGAACCCUGUGCAGACGGGGAAGCCUUAGCAUUGAAUGGUUGUGUUGUUAAAGUGUGAAGCAUGGAACCCUGCGCAGACGGGGAAGCCUUAGCAUUGAACGGUUGUGUUGUUAAAGUGCGAAGUACGGAACCCUGUGCAGACGGGGAAGCCUUAGCAUUGAACGGUUGUGUUGUUAAAGUGCGAAGUACGGAACCCUGUGCAGACGGGGAAGCCUUAGCAUUGAACGGUUGUGUUGUUAAAGUGCGAAGUACGGAACCCUGUGCAGACGGGGAAGCCUUAGCAUUGAAUGGUUGUGUUGUUAAAGUGUGAAGCAUGGAACCCUGCGCAGACGGGGAAGCCUUAGCAUUGAACGGUUGUGUAGUUAAAGUGCGAAGUACGGAACCCUGUGCAGACGGGGAAGCCUUAGCAUUGAACGGUUGUGUUGUUAAAGUGUGAAGUAUGGAACCCUGCGUAGACGGGGAUGCCUUAGCAUUGAACGGUUGUGUUGUUGAAGUGUUAAGUAUGGAACCCUGUGCAGACAAGGAAGCCUUAGCAUUGAACGGUUGUGUUGUUAAAGUGCGAAGUACGGAACCCUGUGCAGACGGGGAAGCCUUAGCAUUGAACGGUUGUGUUGUUAAAGUGCGAAGUACGGAACCCUGUGCAGACGGGGAAGCCUUAGCAUUGAACGGUUGUGUUGUUAAAGUGCGAAGUACGGAACCCUGUGCAGACGGGGAAGCCUUAGCAUUGAACGGUUGUGUUGUUAAAGUGCGAAGUAUGGAACCCUGCGUAGACGGGGAAGCCUUAGCAUUGAACGGUUGUGUUGUUAAAGUGCAAAGUAUGGAACCCUACGCAGAUGGUUGGUCAAUGCGACUUAAGCAACAUGCAGUCAUUGAAUUCUUGACAGCAGAAAGUGUCACUCCAAAGGAGAUUCCUCAGAGAAUGCAAGCUGUUUAUGGGGAUUGUGUUGAUGUGAGUCCUGUGCGUUGUUGGGCGAGUAAGUUUAAAGAUGCUGAGGUGGGAACAUCUGACUUGCAUGACAAACAAAGAGUUGGACAUCCUGUGACAGCAACCACCGAGUUCCACAAGCAAAAGGUUGACAGCUUGAUUCAGGACGAUCGUCGUAUCACUCAGAGAGAAAUUUCAAGCAUAAUCGGCAUUUCACAAGAACGUGUGGGUCACAUUAUUGCUUUGCUUGGCUAUCAGAUGUUGAGAGAACUGUGAGACGCUGGUUGCGGAAACAGAGUGUCGACUUCUUCCGUGACGGCUUCAGAAAACUUGUUCACCGUUGGCAGAAAUGUAUCCAAUUGUCUGGUGAUUGUGUGGAAAAGUGAAUAGUGGUAGUUAAAGAGCACAUUCUAAGGAUUAUUUCUGUGUUUUAUUUAUUAAAAUAUUCUCAUCCAAACUGCAGAAAUGAUGGUGGAGGCAUUACUUUUCAUCCAACCCUCGUAAAAUAUUUCUGGGUGAUGAUUGUUUUUAAAAGAGCCAUUUAAAUACAUGGUUUCUCCUCUCUCUGAUUCUAGUAGUACCACCCAGAGGAAAAUACACUUUAUACCACAUGAUGCUGUUUUAUCUAUAGUUUGACUGUUAGUUAUUGAAAGCAAUCAGGAGCUCGGUACCCAUUUCAUAAGGAUCACCUUAUAUUCUUCCUUUUUUCAUGACUGACUAAAUAGCCUGUAACUGCUUCUAGCAGAAGCUUUCAGUGAUUACAAAGAACACUCCUGUUUUUCACUUCAAAUUAACCGAGAUGGCUUGUCUAUCAUCCAAGGAGCUUUUUCCAGAUUAAACCUCAAAACGUUGUCUACAAAAAUGCGUUGGAUAAUCCAGAAUGUUGGAUAAGCGAGUGUUGGAUAAGUGAGACUCUACUGUAUCUAUUUUUAUUUCUGAAAUUUACCAUUCUCGGCUUUUAGUGGAGUCAAUGUUUUCCCAGUUUUUUGUGGUAAAAUUAGGUGCCUCGGCUUAUAUUCAGGUCGGCUUAUACUCCACAUCCAAUUUCUUUUGAAGCAAUGAGAGCUGAUGUUCAAUACGCUGCUUCAAGCUAAUGUCUGAAAAAUGUCUACCUUCUAGAUGUUUGCAAUAAAAUUUGACUUUGA